AUAGCGGGAACCUGCAGUUUGCGCGAUCGAAUCGCCGUUCGGCUCCUCAGUCUAGUUCAGCACAUCUACCGGAACGGAACGGCGACGGUGUUGUUGCCGGGUGUUGCGUUGCGCUCGCGUUGUCCAGGCACGCUUAAUAAAACGAACGCGCGGCCGCACUCUUUCACUCAAUUUGGUAACAUCAACGACAGUGAAGAAGAAAAGUCCAAAGAGAAAACAUUGGUGCAAACAACGAAACACAAAACACAGCAACAACAACAGAGAGUGAACGAGUGAAUCAGUCAAAACGAAACGAACGCUGGAAAAAAAAAGUGAAGAGAGAAGCAACAAAAAUAAAACAAAAGAGAAUCACGAGCUGCGCUCGAGAACAAAAACAAACAAAACAAAAGAUCGAAGAACACGAUCUCCGAGAGCCAUAACAAUAAAAGUGUUAACAAGUGUGGGCUUGUGUGCGUCUGAGACGAACCCCAAUUGAUGGGCUUUUGACAUUUCCGAAAGUGGGUUCGGAAGUGGGCUCAUGGAACGAUAAGUGAUUGGGGGACGAAUGAUGUGUUGUGUGUCGAAAAUUGACUGAUAAACGCGAGCGCGUCCUUGGGAGGAGUGAGAAGUGAACAGUGAGCGGGUGAAAUAGUGGUCGGACGAGCGUUCCGAAUAUGAUGGAACCAAGGGUGAUUUUUCUGAAGAAGAAGAAUAGCAGAAGUGGUAGCUUUAGCGAUAAAGGUGAGUCCGGAGCAGGAACGACACCCACCCGGGUUCUGCAAACACACAGCACUCGACAUCGCGUGGCAAACGUCCUUCAACAUCUGUCUCAAGAAAAAAA